rnacentral:rRNA from 1 species
AGUGAACGCUGGCGGUAGGCCUAACACAUGCGAGUCGAACGGCAGCACAGUAAGAGCUUGCUCUUACGGGUGGCGAGUGGCGGACGGGUGAGGAAUACAUCGGAAUCUACUUUUUCGUGGGGGAUAACGUAGGGAAACUUACGCUAAUACCGCAUACGACCUACGGGUGAAAGCAGGGGAUCUUCGGACCUUGCGCGAUUGAGUGAGCCGAUGUCGGAUUAGCUAGUUGGCGGGGUAAAGGCCCACCAAGGCGACGAUCCGUAGCUGGUCUGAGAGGAUGAUCAGCCACACUGGAACUGAGACACGGUCCAGACUCCUACGGGAGGCAGCAGUGGGGAAUAUUGGACAAUGGGCGCAAGCCUGAUCCAGCCAUACCGCGUGGGUGAAGAAGGCCUUCGGGUUGUAAAGCCCUUUUGUUGGGAAAGAAAAGCAGCAGGUUAAUACCCCGCUGUUCUGACGGUACCCAAAGAAUAAGCACCGGCUAACUUCGUG